rnacentral:lncRNA from 1 species
CCCAACGGCCCUUGAAGAACUUCCACCAAUUCAAGAUCAAGCCCCGACGGCCCUUGAGGAAAGCACCAUCGUUCAUCAUCUGUUCAUCCAAGAUCAAGCCCCAACGGCCCUUUGGAUCAACAAUGUCGACAAAUCCACACACAUCCAACCGUUCUUCAAGAUUAAGCCCAAAAGCCCUUGAAGAUCCGUUCAUCACUGUUCUUCAAGAUCAAGCCCAAAAGCCCUUGAAGAUCCGUUCAUCACUGUUCUUCAAGAUCAAGUCCCAACGGCUCCUUGAAGAUCCGCUCAAAUCCACCUUCAAAGAUCAAGCCCAC